UUUAUGGAGAGUUUGAUCCUGGCUCAGGAUGAACGCUGGCGGCGUGCCUAAUACAUGCAAGUCGAGCGAACGGACGAGAAGCUUGCUUCUCUGAUGUUAGCGGCGGACGGGUGAGUAACACGUGGAUAACCUACCUAUAAGACUGGGAUAACUUCGGGAAACCGGAGCUAAUACCGGAUAAUAUUUUGAACCGCAUGGUUCAAAAGUGAAAGACGGUCUUGCUGUCACUUAUAGAUGGAUCCGCGCUGCAUUAGCUAGUUGGUAAGGUAACGGCUUACCAAGGCAACGAUGCAUAGCCGACCUGAGAGGGUGAUCGGCCACACUGGAACUGAGACACGGUCCAGACUCCUACGGGAGGCAGCAGUAGGGAAUCUUCCGCAAUGGGCGAAAGCCUGACGGAGCAACGCCGCGUGAGUGAUGAAGGUCUUCGGAUCGUAAAACUCUGUUAUUAGGGAAGAACAUAUGUGUAAGUAACUGUGCACAUCUUGACGGUACCUAAUCAGAAAGCCACGGCUAACUACGUGCCAGCAGCCGCGGUAAUACGUAGGUGGCAAGCGUUAUCCGGAAUUAUUGGGCGUAAAGCGCGCGUAGGCGGUUUUUUAAGUCUGAUGUGAAAGCCCACGGCUCAACCGUGGAGGGUCAUUGGAAACUGGAAAACUUGAGUGCAGAAGAGGAAAGUGGAAUUCCAUGUGUAGCGGUGAAAUGCGCAGAGAUAUGGAGGAACACCAGUGGCGAAGGCGACUUUCUGGUCUGUAACUGACGCUGAUGUGCGAAAGCGUGGGGAUCAAACAGGAUUAGAUACCCUGGUAGUCCACGCCGUAAACGAUGAGUGCUAAGUGUUAGGGGGUUUCCGCCCCUUAGUGCUGCAGCUAACGCAUUAAGCACUCCGCCUGGGGAGUACGACCGCAAGGUUGAAACUCAAAGGAAUUGACGGGGACCCGCACAAGCGGUGGAGCAUGUGGUUUAAUUCGAAGCAACGCGAAGAACCUUACCAAAUCUUGACAUCCUUUGACAACUCUAGAGAUAGAGCCUUCCCCUUCGGGGGACAAAGUGACAGGUGGUGCAUGGUUGUCGUCAGCUCGUGUCGUGAGAUGUUGGGUUAAGUCCCGCAACGAGCGCAACCCUUAAGCUUAGUUGCCAUCAUUAAGUUGGGCACUCUAAGUUGACUGCCGGUGACAAACCGGAG
rnacentral:rRNA from 1 species